CACGGGGAAUUUAGUUGAAACUAAUGAUGAAGACAUAUCUCAUGUGGUUUGGGAUCGUUGUCCAAAGCCAACAUUCAAGCCGGAGAUCAUCCCAUUGUAAGAUGAUAUCUCCUUUUGCCUGAUGCACAAGUGCAAGAGGCUUGUCAUGUCAAACUGUUGAAACUAGGUGACAAUCUGUUGCUAGUCAGUCCAUCAACUGCAGUCCGAAGUGUUGCCUUUGUGUGCUAUGGUGCUUGUGGUAGUAACAUGGUCAGCCCAGAGGUUACGUCAUUCAAAGAAAAAAUUGCUCCUAAAGAGGCCC
rnacentral:lncRNA from 1 species